rnacentral:lncRNA from 1 species
CGCCCCCCUUCUCCUCCUCCUCCUCCUUCUCCUUCAGCCCCGGUCCCUUCCAGUGCCAGGGCUGCGGCUCUGCCCCGUCAGGAGCCGCAGUGGUCCACAAAGGAUUUCCAUUUGUUGAGUGGAAUCAGCUUGAUAGCAUGUCCCUGCACCUCCCUGAUCAGCUAAUGCCUCCCUGGGAAUACCUGUAAGCCUACCAGAAGAUCAGGCGACUAAAAGGGAGAAAUGUGAGACUCAAGCAGCCUCUGGUAUUCAAACCUAUGCCACAUUCCACUUGAAGCACUGAAUGGAAACUCAGAAGUGAAGGCUUAACUGGCAACAGGAAUAAGAAGACAAAAACCUGUAAGCGUGGGAGAAGAGAAGGAGGCAGCAGAAGGAUGCAGAAAGACUCAGUCUGGCCCUGCAUGGAACAGGAGAGGUUCAGCCACUCCUGGUUCUGGAAAUUUAAUUGCAGAUCCAGGGUUUGCAAAACAAAAGUCUAAUUUGGAGUAUGUUGGCCCCAAGUUACAAGGUGGAAACCUGGAAACCGUAAGAGUCAAUUCAAGCAAACUGAACAACCUGCAGUGGUGUCUAGAUUCCUCUGCAUACUGUCACAGAACAUGGAUUAAAAGUAAAAAGCAGCUGCAAGGUAAGAAAACUUCUCUCUCUUGGGUUUUAUCUUUCAUUUGCAGGUUGUGGCCAGGUAGCUCAUACCAUAUACAUGCUUUUUUAACGCAGUGCUGUAUGACCUUGUCCAUAGAUUCUUGCCUACACAUGUUCCUGCUAUAUAAUAGAGUGUCAGAUAUGAUGAACGUCAGGGUGUUUCUUUCAUUUGAGAAGAGCACUAUAAACCACUCAAUUUCCCUCUGUGGUGCUCUGCUGAGAAAUGUUUUAUUAUAAAUGUUUAAAAGUGCAUACAAAUGUAGAAAUAAAUGGAGAUUUUGGAAUGAACA